rnacentral:misc_RNA from 1 species
CGUUCAGGCCCGCGUUCGAGUUGCCCGUAGCCAUCGCAGUGCUCAGGCCGGAGGCGGCAGCGAUGACCGAUGCGCGCUGCGAACCGCCGAAGUGGUCCUCGAGCGCGGUCGGGUACUGCUCGUACUGCUCCAUCGAGUAGAGCGUGACCUCGGUCGCGAUGUCGUUGAUCGCGUCCUGGGUCGAGGGGGCCUUGUUCCAGCCGCCGAACUUGUCCGCGACGUAGUCCCUGCCGUAGUAGCAGUAGUCGUCGAGGAUGUUGUCGGUGUAGGCUGCGGUAGCAUACUGUGUGAAUCCUACACCACC